GACGAACCGUGCGAACGUUAUUCGGAAUUACUGGGCGUAAAGCGCACGUAGGCGGCUUUGUAAGUAAGAGGUGAAAGCCCAGAGCUCAACUCUGGAAUUGCCUUUUAGACUGCAUCGCUUGAAUCAUGGAGAGGUCAGUGGAAUUCCGAGUGUAGAGGUGAAAUUCGUAGAUAUUCGGAAGAACACCAGUGGCGAAGGCGGCUGACUGGACAUGUAUUGACGCUGAGGUGCGAAAGCGUGGGGAGCAAACAGG
rnacentral:rRNA from 1 species